AGGAGCUGCAUCUACUUGCAUCUGCAAUUGGCCUUAUGUACCGGGAUCUAGCUUUUCUAGAAAGGGUAAACGGAGAUUCUGAUUCUUGGCUGUGGAAGGCACAUUGAGCCAGUGAGCCCUGAGCUCCGUCGCUUCAUACGGUCUACAGGAAUGAAAUUGGAAGCAACGAUUUGAGAAAUGCUGCUUCUACUUACAAUAUAUUAAAUGAUGAAGGAAGGCCGGUGGAACUACUUCAGAAUCUUCAUCUACCAUGAUAAUCAAGGCUGUCUAUUAAGUCAGCAGAAUUGUUGUCAUUUAUAUGGUUCGACUUUGGGAGCUCAAGGAUUUCUAGUCGGAGUCCAACAAAUAUGUAAGUUCUCUGUUGGGUUGCUGCAUAUCGGCUAUGAUGUUCUUGGUGAGCCAAUGCUGCACAUGGAUGCUAUAUUAUGAGUCCAUAUUGUGUUUCAGAAGGAAUAAUGCUUGUUGUGGUGGGAGCAUUUGGUCAUCUCUGCAAGUUGGUUUUUUUUUUUUUAAACAUAAUGAAGGAGGUGGGCCUCCCACAUUGUUAUUAUUGAAAUUCAGUUAUAGAUUGAACAAGGGUGCUAUUUACAAUGAGGAGAAAGAUAUGGACUGUUUGUAAAAGGCUGACAUACGGGUAUUAGAUUGUGUGAGUGGGUUUUCCGCCCUUGCUUUUAGGAGAGGCUGCAUGGGUGGCUACUUCAAAGCAGUUACGUAACAAGAACUAGGGUCUUUAGAGUAUGACUCCCACGGAAUUUACUCAGCAAUGGCACCAUCUUCAACUCCUUACACCUGAAUGCUUAAAUGGCCGUGCUUCGCAUAGAGAAGAUGAUAAAGCUUCCUUCGCUACGUGAAGAGGACCAUUCAAAGAACAAGGAAGCAGCCUGUUUUGCUAACAGUUUCGGUGAUUUUGCUUCAAAGCAAAACACCCGCUUGUUCCGUUCCUUCCGAAUGCACCAGCAGGUGACUAAUACUAUUGCACCUAUUGCCCUGCUUAAGCCCUUUAAUGCAAGAGAAGGCACCCAUUUAGUCCAUAAGUCAAGAUAUGUGCUGGGAGUGGGAGGAACUGGGAAGUUCUGUAAAAUGAGAGCCCAGAUUGCUUUGGAGUAGGCACAUUCCAGGAUUGAAUGGUCCACUGACUCCCCAAAGGACGAGCAGAGAGGACAUGCAUUUGGGCCAGUGAUGCCUUUUUUUUUUAGAUUAUCAGCAGUCAGUAUUUUAUUGUUGAAGCAGAGCCAUCCAAAGAUCUUUGUUUUCUCAGGAACAGGGAGUUUCCAGAAGGCUUUACCGAGUGGAGAGAUGAUGCCGCCAUGUGACAAAAAGAUUAUUACAACUUCAAGGUUGCAGAGGCAUUCGAUUUCCAGACUCUGGUGUCGUUACUUUCGGACAGGCUGAAGGUUUGAAGUAUGACAUUCUAGCAAUGCUGCGGUGGUCAUGGGCCUUCUGAAUGGAUCUAUCUUGUUUGGGUGUUGAACAAACUUCGCUAAUGUCUGAGAGGGCUUGUGAGACAUGAUAAACAAAUUUGGAAGAAAGGUUCUCAAGGGCUCAUUUCCUGUCCACACAUCAUGCCAGAAGGAAGUCUGUUGUCCAUUGCCAAUUUUUGCGAUACAACUUUUUUGGAACAGAUCCUGCAAAUUAAGUAUCCCUUUCCAAAAUGGUGUGGCGGUGCAUUUGAGAUGAGGUGACGACAAGAUUGGUGACUGCCUACGGCAGUAUAUUUGCCAAAUUAAGUUGCUCCAAGGUUUGCCGUGAUCAUUGAAUUAUUUCCACCACCAUUUCAUCAGCAGCAAUUGGUUUAAAAUAAAUAGGUUGGGGACACCAAGGCCUCAAAGAUUUUUUGGCCGGCAAAUCUACCAAAUCAUAUCCCAGCUGGCAAGGUAUUUACAUUUGCUCACCUUCUCCUGGUCCGACCAAAGGAAACUUCGGCAGAUUCGAUCAAUUCUCUGAAUGAUGAUCGUGGUGACUUGGAGAAUAGACAUCCGGUAGACAGGGAUUAAUCUAAGCACGGAAUUAAUGAGGGUCAACCUGCCUGCCAGUGUGGGAGUAUUCCAUUUCCAGCCACCAAGUUUCUUAUCAACUUUUUCAACAAGAAAAUUCCAGUCUGCCAAUCUAAAGGUUGAGUGACGAAGGGGGAUGCCAAGAUAAGAGAUGGGCACCUGAUCUACCUGACAUCUCUGCAAGUUGUUGUUUGCAUUAUUGCCUUGAGUGCCUUUUCCUUUUCACUGUAUUAUGAUAUGGUGUUCGGGGAGACAGACUCAGCUGGGUUUGUGUUGGUAAUUGGGAAGCAACUCUAAAUUGUCAGUAAUGGUUCUCAGUUUCAUUGGAUGGUGUUACUAGCAUCUACUGGUUUAUUACUCUGGCAAUUAUUCUGGUGGUCUAGACUGUACAGCAGACAAUGGCACUUCAUUCAGGAUUCUCUGGUGAUGGGUGAUACUAUACAGAAUGGUAUGCAGAAUAAACAUAUACUGGAUGGGUUCACUGAUACUAUCCUUGAUGUUCUAAGCAGGAUCAUAUAUGCUUCAGGGAUGUUGGGGAUUAUUUUAUGCUGAGCUCAACUUUUCUUUUUGCACCAUCAGGUUUAUUUCUUAUGCAGUGUAGUGGAACCUGAUGACUUUUCACAACUGAUGGAUGGGGUGAUUGAGGUGUUUUGCCAAUCCCCAUCCUUGCUUCUAGGGCUUAAGUUUGUUUCCUCUUUAUGUUGGGCUUGUAAUUUGUUUAUCGUUUUGGGCUGCUUGCUAUUCUCAUGUGGUACAGAUACUAUGUGUACUUGUAGUUGUAUCUUUCCUUCAAUGAAUCAACAGUACUUCUCUUUACCACAAAAAAAAAUGGAAAAGGAGACGGCAAUUAUCUUGUUU